rnacentral:lncRNA from 1 species
CUAUGUGGCUAUCUAACAGACCAUGAAAGUCAUUAACAACUGAGAGAGAUGUGAGGGCCAUCACUGUCUCUCAAAAUCCAGUUCUUAGGAAGAGCUGACUACAAUAUAAAUCCCAGCUCAGUCAGUCAGAGAGGGGCUGCAACUCUCAACCUCUAACUAGCCCCUGGGUGAUGCUUUGUGGCUGGUUUAAGGACACAGGUAAGAAAAGAGAGGAUCCAAGCCCGUGAGACAAUUGUCCAAAGCCAUUCAAUGGGAGAAGAAAAUCACAGAGUGGAUGCUGGAUCCUUACACUCUGGGACAACACGCAUUUUUUUUUCUGUACUGUGCCCAUGCAUUUCAUAAAUGUUAAGAUGUAAAAGAUUGCGCCAUGAUGCAUCUGCAGACCUUCGUGAAUGCCUCUGCAUUGCCAUGGUACCGAAUCAGAAAAUAUCCAGAAACACUUGGAAGAAAAGGGAUCCUAGACACACCUCCUUUGGAUAUCAGGUCUGCUUCAAGCAACAAUGGCUUCCCUUUGACUGAAGGAGGUGGAGACUUCCUCCAGAUGGAAGCCACAGCUUGUCAUACACAGUAAGGCAGUGACCUCAGGCGCAUCCCCUUUAAGGAGUCGGUAGGCACAGCUUUUCCUUAAUUAUCUGCUGAUCCUUUCAUUCAAUCCCCAGCUUCCCUCCUUGCUGCAAAAGCCUCCGACUUUAAUAUAUCCUCUCCUGCCCUGCCAGACAGUCAGCCCCAUUCACUACAUCAGCUUUGAACUUGUCAGCUGAAACAAGGUGACAGGGGCUGAUGUUACAGAGCUCGAUACAGUAAAAGUCAAGCAGCUAUUCGUGUUCCACGGCUGGGGCGUCUCCGUCAUAAAAUAUUCAUCCUGUUAUGUCACUCUUUAUUUGGCUGCCAGAACCAAAAGAGCCGGAGAACCUUCAGGAUGUCGGUGUGCAGCAGUACCUCGUGCAUACAACCAAGGUCCCCAAAUUAAUUUGGAGUGCUUAGAGCAGCCUCUUCUAUCAUUGCAAAGUUCACAUCUCUCAAGGGUUGCCUUUCUUCCCGAACCAGAGUCUUCGGUGGUGACAUUAAGCAUCAAACCACGUGUCAACAAGCUGCUGAUGAAUCCGUCCUGCAGACCCAGUCGUGUGACAGCAUUGCUGGUGGGGAAAUGUGAAUGGUUUCUCUCGUCUUAUGGGAUUCCGGCUAUCAAAUGAAUAUCUCUAUGUUCAUUUCUCUCCAUUUUUCUGGCUGUCGAAAUGUACUGUCAAGAGGUGAUACUGAACCUGAAUCUUGCAGAGAAUGUUGUCGUUGCCUCGAUGGGAAGGAUAUCCUGGAUCUUUGAACAAAUUCUUUCAGGAGAGUUUAGCUUUCUUUUCC